UACAGAGGGUGCAAGCGUUGUUCGGAAUUAUUGGGCGUAAAGGGCGCGUAGGCGGUGCGGUAAGUCUUUUGUGAAAUCUCCGGGCUCAACUCGGAGUCUGCAGGAGAAACUGCCGUGCUUGAGUAUGGGAGAGGUGAGUGGAAUUCCUGGUGUAGCGGUGAAAUGCGUAGAUAUCAGGAGGAACACCGGUGGUGUAGACGGCUUUCUGGACCGUAACUGACGCUGAGGAGCGAAAGCGUGGGGAGCGAACAGG
rnacentral:rRNA from 1 species